rnacentral:lncRNA from 1 species
GGAUUCAGUUAAUCCACUUGGCACACAGGGUUCAAACGUAAACUGUGUCUGACAGGAAUGUAUUGAAAUCAGAGAGGAACUCAGUCUUCAAAUUCAGACUUUUGGUUUAUUUUAAUUACUACUUGAACCUCCCUAAAAUCCAAAAUCAAAUUCAAAUCUCAGAUUAAUCUGCCAGUCCUGAUGCUUAUCACAGAGUUUGGAAUUGAAAUGACUGAAGAGAGAAACUUCAAAUUUUACAUGCAUGUAUAAGUGCUAGCAGUAAUAAAUCUCACCAUUUCCUGCUAAUAUUUCACACUGGUGAUCACUAGCCGGUAAGACCAACAGUGUAAAAACCAUGAACCCACAAGGGAAACUAUAACAAAAAAACACCAAAAAAAAAAAAACAAAAAAAACCAAAACCCACCCAACCAAAAAAACCAAAACUAACAAAAAACUUUUCAGAAAAAAGCCACAUGUGGAACACCUCUACUAAAACAAGGAAGCAGAUACCACCAGCUUUGAUGGACAGGCUUCAACUCUGAUGACUUAUCACUAUAGAUGGAUAUAAAAGGAGGGGUCUCUUCCUCCUUGUACAGAGGAGCAUUAGAUGAAUUUCUCUGUGCUCAUAGCUGGAUUCCCAGGUUUGCACUAGCUUCCCUGAAUGAGCAAGAAGUGUCAGAGCUAAAUUGAAAUCAGCUUUUGUGCCAUAAGUGUGUAGUGAUGUCAUUAGCUAUCAUCUUUGCUCCAGGACUGCUUGCUGCUGCUACUAACCAAGAAAGGCAGCAGGAAGAAGGGUCUUCUUGACCCCCACAGCAAGUUUAGGGUUGUUUGAAGUUGGAACCCACAAUGUUGCUUGUCCUAAAAACCAUAAAAAGCCCAACAGCUAACUUCUCCUUCUGAAACAGUGUACACACCCACUCACUGCUGACUAGAACUGUUUUUCAUGACUGUGAUAUUACCCACCACUGACUUUCCAUAUUACAAGAGAGGCCAGCUGCCGCAGGUCCGGAGUAAGGAAAUGCCAGUCUUAGUUUUCUUAUUUCUUUGGCAGAGACUCAGACAAUUUGGUUUUCAUUACACACAUAGCUUUUAUUUUUAAGUUGGAUCUAGAGGAGGGAAUAGUCACCAUCUUCAUCACUUCAGACAGGCUUUGAUCUGCAAAAUUCUUUAAUGCUGUCACACACAAAGUACUUUUGAUCACUACACUUUGUUUGGAAGUAGAAUAAAAUUUAUUAUCCAGCUAAGUAAUACAUUUGGAGGUUGGGAAGACCACUCUUCACAAGCAGCUUACCUUUUGUACAAAAGGUACAAAAGGUACCUUUUGUUCUGCCUAGAUGCUGUUCACAGGGAGUAAUUUACUGGUUGGGUACAGUCUGCAUUUGCUUUCAUGGAUUAGUAAGGAAAUAAUUUUUUAGAGAUUUGGCCAUUAUCCCAAGUAAUUUGAUAACUCUGUAAAGCUUAGUCUACAUUUCAAACCGUGUAGCAAUUGGGCAAAUAGUUUUGUAAAUCAAAUAAUUGUUCUAUAAAUCUUUAUUUACAAUCUUAAGAGUCUUUUUUCAAAAUGGAUGUAUACUCUCCUGUGGCACCUCCUUGUACAUAUAUGUCUGGUCUAAUGACAUGUCGCAGUAAGUUUUCUCUCUCAAUCCAGAGAAUAGAAACAGUGUCAAGAUGGAUUAUGGGACUGUGACUUUGGGACCUGUUGUCAUUUUUUUGACCCACCAGGACCUGCCUUAGCUGAUCCGGCUCAAACCACUGGGUGAGAUUCUCAAACAGGGACCUAGGGCUUGCUUAUUUCUGCUGGAGUGAGUGAGGCACUUUCAUGGUUCUGUGGGUCUCAGCUUGUGUUCCUCUUGUGCAAAACAAUGGUUAUAAUAAUGCUUUCUUUGGCUGACUGUUCUCUUUAGGUUAUGUUAGUCACUCUGCAGACAUAGAAGAGAGACAACAGGAACUUCUUUUUGGCGCAGAAGGAAUAGUAAUAAAUCCAAAAUCCACUGAGAUCAUUAGAAGUCCCUUCUAUCUUGUAUCAUACCCUGAGUGUUUAAGAUCAAUCUUUUAGCUAGCAUUUCCUAUCACUAAAUUUGUGAGAGACAAGCUGUGAAAGAAGGACCUGAACAGACAAAAAGAGAAUUCUUUCCUUUGAUUAACAAAUAUCUUCCAACUACACUUUAAAAAAUUUCCUGAGUAUUAGUCCUAGUUCUGGGAAAAAGGAGAGUGUCCCAAAGGUCGUCUCUGACAGCGCAUGAAAAGAAGUGCACUAGCGCUGUCAUGAAAAGAAUCUUACUAUUAAGCUAGUGUUGCUGAAUUUACCAUAUAAGGCAUAUUGGAUUCCAAGCUGGACUGGUCUGUGACUGUCAGUAUGAUUUAACAGAUUCCAUGCAUCAGGUUCUAAAUCUGCAAUACUUUAUUCUUCUGCCCCUGAUUAAGGUCUUGGAUCCAUACAGCUCUCACAUUUAAUUGCACUGUUCUUGAUUAAGAACACAUCUUUAAUCAAGUGCUGGGCAGCCCCUGUUAGCACAAUCAGAUGUUCUAAUGAAAGAAAGGAAUUGUAGGUGUUGCCAGCAGAGCUCACACAGAGAAUGUUAAAAAGGCAGGCAAGCAGAGGGCUGAAAAAGUUUUUGUCUCUUCUCUUUAAUCACCCCUCCCCUUUCCGCCUGACAUUUUCUUACUCAGUUGAAGCUGCCAAAUCACAGAUGGUUGUAAGGCCUGUAUGAAUAAGAAUAAAACAAGGAAGCUAGUAUUUGGGAGAGAAUGGAAGAGUAACAAAUAAGACUGACCUGAUUAUUCAAGCAUAGUCGGACAUUAUGCCAAACUGCAUCUUCUGAUAUUUGCUAUGUAAUUUAUAUAUAAGUAUAAACUGCAGGAUACAGUAAAAAAAGUGCUGCAUCCCUUCUGUGUCUCCUCUGCUGUGAAUCUAGCAGUGUUUUUGUGCUCUGAACCUCCUGACAUCUGAAUUUCACUGUACUGGUUAUAUCAAACACAGUUUGGAGUGGGCAGCUAUACCAAUACAGAUAAUGUUUGCUUCUAUAGCCAUAAGCAUACAUAUUUUGUUGCCAAUAUUUUUAAUUGUUGGGCAACCAAUAUUCCAUUUUGAUAAAGUUGUGCUAUUGCACACUGAGACUUCUAGUUUCAGCAUGAUAGCAGAAUAUGGAAGUAAAAGAAUAGCACAUUGUUGACAAUAGUUUAUACUUAGAUUCACUUUGAGGUCACUUUUCCUGCCCUGUCUGAUGCUUUGUCAGUGAAGGCCCAUGUUGGAGAAAAAGAAUGGAUUUAAUUACUGAGGUUUAAAGAAAAGAGGCAGAAAGAAGAAUGCUGAUCUGUAGGCAAGAGUCAUCAAGCUCUGCUUCUGCCCUCCUGACACUGGCAUCUGACUAAACUCCAGGAGUAGGGCUGCAGCUGCAGUACAAGCCCAGCUAGACCUUGGCAGCAGUCAGCAGCUUUAUGUACUUUGUGGGAGGGAGAGGAAAAAAACAAAGGAAAACAACACAACCAAAUAACAACAAUAACCUCUAGAAGUAGGAACAUGAGUUAAUUUAUUUUGGAGAUAAUGUUUCUCUGAUUGUCAGUCACAGGAGUAUUUAUCUGUGCACAUUGACGGGUUGUCUCUUUCGUAUGUUUUGUUUGGAGUGCAGUGACAUUGUUCCCACUUUGUAGCUGGAGAGCAGAGGCACAGAGAGAAUGAUGUUUUAAAGGCAUUGAACUAUGUAAUUCCAGAGAAUUAGUAUGGAAUUCUGGUCUCCAAACCAAGUUUCAGCAUCUGCCCUUCUAUUGUCUUUCAUCCCUCCCUGGCCAAACUGAGAUUGUAUGGUAGAGAAGGAAAUUGAACCGACCUCUCACAUCCCCCAUUAUAGCUGCAUUCCCACCAAGACUGGGAUUUGAGCCCUGCAUACUUGUCCUGUUACAACUCUGGACACUGCUUUAAGCUGUAAAUACACUUAACUUGCCUUUCUGCAUUAAGAGGAGUAUGCUUUAAUGGAAAAAUAGGUUAGCUGUGCAUAUGGUGAAAAUACACAUUUUUAACCUGCUUUUCUUUCAUUUGGAAAAAAAACCUAGGUUAAAACCUUCCUUUCAAGAAGCUGCCUUCAUUGUCUUCCUGAUUAACUUCUGUCUGCAUCAUUUUAUAUGCUUUUAGUCUUGUUUCUUUUUAUUUAAUUUUUUUUAUUUCCCAAUAUUUUAUAUCUCAAACUUUUCAAGCAUCCAUUAAGGAAAAUUUUGCUUUGCCUCUAGAAUUGUCUCUAAUACCAUUCUCUUCUCUCAAAAUAGGAUUAAAAAUAUGUUUUGAAUGAGAAAAUUUCCCUGAAUUAUGAAAUGACACAGAGCAUAUGUCAUACUAUUCUCCAUCACAUUCUUUUCAUAUUCUGACAAAUAUCACCUCUUGUCAUCAUUGCUGUAGACUGGACAGAGGGGUUUUUUUGUGGUACCUUAUGCCAACACCAAGUAAAUUCCUAACAAGGAUUACAGAUGCCCUGGGGCAUAGCCACACAACAAAGAGGAAUUGGGCCACUCACUGACCUGAGAGAUGGUAAACCAGUGAAUGUCACUUUGCAGUUGUUUUUGAGUCACUGCAACACAGCUUAGUCACGGAAUUAGCACCUGGGUCUCAGUGAGCCCUAUAGGUUCACGUGGUCCCUCUGAAAUAUCAUUUUCAAGAAGAUCCAGACAUUCAUUUGCAGGCAGUGAAAUUAUCAUGUUUAUUUGUUACUUAUGUGGUUAGAAAACACACAUGAAAAAGGCAAACUUUCCUUUUAGAGGCUUGUUAUUUUGUUUUGCAUAGCAGUGGGCAGCACAUGUUAAUGUGUGACCAAGCCACAGACUAAAUGACAUGUCUCCUUCUGCAGACAAAUUUAACUCGCAUUGAAGUCUAUGGGAGUUUUGCCAAUGACUAAUGGAAAUACUAGCAGUUCCUUAGGGUCAAACAAAGAGCACAACAAUAUCAGGAAAAAAAA